rnacentral:rRNA from 1 species
AUUGAACGCUGGCGGAAUGCUUUACACAUGCAAGUCGAACGGCAGCACGGGAGCUUGCUCCUGUUGGCGAGUGGCGAACGGGUGAGUAACAUAUCGGAACGUACCCAUUCGUGGGGGAUAACUAUCCGAAAGGAUAGCUAAUACCGCAUACGUCCUGUGUGAGAAAGCGGGGGAUCGCAAUACCUCGCGCUUUUGUAUCGGCCGAUAUCGGAUUAGCUAGUUGGUGGGGUAAAGGCUCACCAAGGCGACGAUCCGUAGCGGGUCUGAGAGGACGACCCGCCACACUGGAACUGAGACACGGUCCAGACUCCUACGGGAGGCAGCAGUGGGGAAUGUUGGACAAUGGGGGCAAACAUGAUCCAGCCAUUCCGCGUGAGUGAAGAAGGCCUUCGGGUUGUAAAGCUCUUUCAGCAGGAACGAAACGGUCGGAUUUAAUAAAAUCGGCUAAUGACGGUACCUGCAGAAGAAGCACCGGCUAACUACGUG